rnacentral:tRNA from 1 species
CCAGGUGCGGGUCGGCGGCCGGGGAUCACCGCGCUCCGGCCGCGGUCAGUCGCCCUCCUUGACCGCGCCCGGCGCGAACGUGUCGCACCGCGUCGG